ACAGGAUGCACCGUAGUUACUACACCGUAUUCUGUGAGUUGCGAACGGGUGAGUAACGCGUAGGUAACCUGCCUGGUAGCGGGGGAUAACUAUUGGAAACGAUAGCUAAUACCGCAUAAGAACAUUUACUGCAUGGUAGAUGUUUAAAAGGUGCAAAAGCAUCACUACCAGAUGGACCUGCGUUGUAUUAGCUAGUUGGUGAGGUAACGGCUCACCAAGGCAACGAUACAUAGCCGACCUGAGAGGGUGAUCGGCCACACUGGGACUGAGACACGGCCCAGACUCCUACGGGAGGCAGCAGUAGGGAAUCUUCGGCAAUGGGGGGAACCCUGACCGAGCAACGCCGCGUGAGUGAAGAAGGUUUUCGGAUCGUAAAGCUCUGUUGUUAAGGAAGAACGUGUGUGAGAGUGGAAAGUUCACACAGUGACGGUACUUAACCAGAAAGGGACGGCUAACUACGUGCCAGCAGCCGCGGUAAUACGUAGGUCCCGAGCGUUGUCCGGAUUUAUUGGGCGUAAGGCGAGCGCAGGCGGUUAGAUAAGUCUGAAGUGAAAGGCAGUGGCUCAACCAUUGUAGGCUUUGGAAACUGUUUAACUUGAGUGCAGAAGGGGAGAGUGGAAUUCCAUGUGUAGCGGUGAAAUGCGUAGAUAUAUGGAGGAACACCGGUGGCGAAAGCGGCUCUCUGGUCUGUAACUGACGCUGAGGCUCGAAAGCGUGGGGAGCGAACAGGAUUAGAUACCCUGGUAGUCCACGCCGUAAACGAUGAGUGCUAGGUGUUAGGUCCUUUCCGGGACUUAGUGCCGCAGCUAACGCAUUAAG
rnacentral:rRNA from 1 species